rnacentral:rRNA from 1 species
CCUACGGGAGGCUGCAGUGAGGAAUAUUGGUCAAUGGACGAGAGUCUGAACCAGCCAAGUAGCGUGAAGGAUGACUGCCCUAUGGGUUGUAAACUUCUUUUAUAUGGGAAUAAAGUGUUCCACGUGUGGGAUUUUGUAUGUACCAUAUGAAUAAGGAUCGGCUAACUCCGUGCCAGCAGCCGCGGUAAUACGGAGGAUCCGAGCGUUAUCCGGAUUUAUUGGGUUUAACGGGAGCGUAGGUGGAUUGUUAAGUCAGUUGUGAAAGUUUGCGGCUCAACCGUAAAAUUGCAGUUGAAACUGGCAGUCUUGAGUACAGUAGAGGUGGGCGGAAUUCGUGGUGUAGCGGUGAAAUGCUUAGAUAUCACGAAGAACUCCGAUUGCGAAGGCAGUUCACUGUACUGCAACUGACACUGAGGCUCGAAAGUGUGGGUAUCAAACAGGAUUAGAUACCCGAGUAGUC